rnacentral:rRNA from 1 species
CCUACGGGAGGCAGCAGUGGGGAAUCUUCCGCAAUGGACGAAAGUCUGACGGAGCAACGCCGCGUGAGUGAAGAAGGUUUUCGGAUCGUAAAACUCUGUUGUUAGAGAAGAACAAGUGCUAGAGUAACUGUUAGCGCCUUGACGGUAUCUAACCAGAAAGCCACGGCUAACUACGUGCCAGCAGCCGCGGUAAUACGUAGGUGGCAAGCGUUGUCCGGAUUUAUUGGGCGUAAAGCGAGCGCAGGCGGUUAGAUAAGUCUGAAGUUAAAGGCUGUGGCUUAACCAUAGUACGCUUUGGAAACUGUUUAACUUGAGUGCAGAAGGGGAGAGUGGAAUUCCAUGUGUAGCGGUGAAAUGCGUAGAUAUAUGGAGGAACACCGGUGGCGAAAGCGGCUCUCUGGUCU